rnacentral:misc_RNA from 1 species
UCCAGCUUAUCGCUGGCGGUCUCCUGCGAGUUGCGCCUUGCGGCAUGCCAACACAGGACAAGGGUUGCGCUCGUUGCGGGACUUAACCCAACAUCUCACGACACGAGCUGACGACAGCCAUGCAGCACCUCCACGGCAGCCCCGAAGGGAAGCUCCAUCUCUGGAGCGGUCCACCGCAGUUCAAACCCAGGUAAGGUUCUUCGCGUUGCGUCGAAUUAAUCCACAUCAUCCACCGCUUGUGCGGGCCCCCGUCAAUUCCUUUGAGUUUCAGCCUUGCGACUGUACUCCCCAGGCGGCAUAUUUAACGCGUUAGCUCCGGCACGGACAGAAUGAACUGCCCACACCAAAUAUGCAUCGUUUAGGGCGUGGACUAC